ACUCCUACGGGAGGCAGCAGUGGGGAAUAUUGCACAAUGGGCGCAAGCCUGAUGCAGCCAUGCCGCGUGUGUGAAGAAGGCCUUCGGGUUGUAAAGCACUUUCAGUCGUGAGGAAGGUAGUGUAGUUAAUAGCUGCAUUAUUUGACGUUAGCGACAGAAGAAGCACCGGCUAACUCCGUGCCAGCAGCCGCGGUAAUACGGAGGGUGCGAGCGUUAAUCGGAAUUACUGGGCGUAAAGCGCAUGCAGGUGGUUUGUUAAGUCAGAUGUGAAAGCCCGGGGCUCAACCUCGGAAUAGCAUUUGAAACUGGCAGACUAGAGUACUGUAGAGGGGGGUAGAAUUUCAGGUGUAGCGGUGAAAUGCGUAGAGAUCUGAAGGAAUACCGGUGGCGAAGGCGGCCCCCUGGACAGAUACUGACACUCAGAUGCGAAAGCGUGGGGAGCAAACAGGAUUAGAUACCCUGGUAGGAUAGCG
rnacentral:rRNA from 1 species